UACGGGGGGGGCAAGCGUUGUUCGGAAUUAUUGGGCGUAAAGAGCUCGUAGGCGGUUUGUCGCGUCUGCUGUGAAAACUCGGGGCUUAACUCCGGGCCUGCAGUGGGUACGGGCAGACUAGAGUGCGGUAGGGGAGACUGGAAUUCCUGGUGUAGCGGUGAAAUGCGCAGAUAUCAGGAGGAACACCGGUGGCGAAGGCGGGUCUCUGGGCCGAUACUGACGCUGAGGAGCGAAAGCGUGGGGAGCGAACAGG
rnacentral:rRNA from 1 species